CCCUUAGAUGUUCUGGGCCGCACGCGUGCUACACUGAGUGGAUCAGCGGGUCAGGUUGCGCGAAAGCGUUUCCUAAUCUUUAAAUCCGCUCGUGAUGGGGAUUGACGGUUGCAAUUUUCUGUCAUGAACGAGGAAUACCUUGUAAGCGCGGGUCAUCAUCCCGCGCUGAAUACGUCCCUGCCCUUUGUACACACCGCCCGUCGCUCCUACCGAUUGAGUGGUCCGGUGAAAUCUCCGGACUGGCGUGAGUCGGAGCAAUCUGACAAACACCGGAAAGUUGAUUAAACCUUACCAUUUAGAGGAAGGUGAAGUCGUAACA
rnacentral:rRNA from 1 species